AGAGCCCUCCCGUCCUCAUCUUGUUCCAGACAGGAUUUCCCUAUUCAGCAAGCUGUCUUGUGGGAGUGCAAUCUGACAUGACAAACACAACUGCUGAAUUAUCGGUGUUUUGUGGGGGGCAGAGCAAAAACAACAACUUGCUUUGUGACCUGGAGCCCUCCAUGGACCUCAAGAGUUGGGUGAGCCAGCCGUGUUCACCGCCAGAGUCGAAUGGGCAUGGCUUUGAAUAGACAUGCAAACAUUACACUCUCCAGCACUUCGCAGGUGAAAAUAAGGGCAGUUGUACAUUUCUAACACUCCAGUUCUUCCACCCAGAAGAUUUUCCCAAGCUCCUUCCUGUUGCUGGGAAGCAUUUUGCAGGGUGAAAUGGCCAAGAUGUUACCUGUUAUCACUUCAAGCAGUCAUCAUGGCUUCCGCCCAAAGACUUCUGGGAGCUGUGGCAAUGGAUUUGAGGUCUGGAUGCACAGAAAGAACAUGACAUUCGGUGGUUGCUAAAUCUCCUGCUGCAGAUUUAAUGUUAAACCGAAAACAAGGUUCUUUAAGCCUGAAAAUCAUAUUUUUUUGUGACAUACGGUAGUUACUGUGUCAGAGAUAACCCUGCAUGCAUUUUCCCCAGCGUAGCAAGCAAUCAGCUUUUGCAGCUUCUUGGUGUAGGCAAAUUUUACUACUUCAAAACCAAACAUUGUGAACUAGGUCAAGACCAUUGCACCUUAUUUUCCAGACCUCUCAUAAAAUAAUUAUGGUCCUUGGGAUCAGAUGUAAAGAGCGGUGGGGUGGGGGAAAGCGUGAACAACAUGUUUGGCUAUAACAUUCUCUUGCAGGUAGAGAUGUCAGAGAAUUCUGAGGAAAAUGGAACUUGCUGGUGUUCACUAAUUUGUCCCCUGUCUGGAACUGAUAUCAAUCCAGCAAAUACAAUUGGUGUUUGCUACCGUUGCCUUUAGCCUACAAAUGAUAUGCUAUCGAUUGUGUGUGUCCUCCCGCCACCAUUGGCAUUACACACCCUUUGCAAUUAAAUGAACAGGGUGGAAUAAUGUAAUGCAAUUUACCUAAUUCCACCACAGCAGACUUUAAGUUGAAUUACGUCGUUUUUGGCAGAAGCUGAACUGCAGCGAAAUGGAAACAGCGAUGCAUGCGGCGAAUGCAACUGAACAUCAGUUGCUGGAAACCACAGAAUGGGAGAGUGUGGUUGUGCUCAAGUCCUGCUUGCAGGUUUCCCGCAGGCAUCUGGUUGGUCACUGUGGGAACAGGAUGCUGGACUACAUGGGCCAUUGGCCUGAUCCUGCAGGUUCUUCUUGUUCCUUUCUAAGAAACCUGCAGUGAGUGUUGCGUGGAUAGUGUUGUUACUCUUCAGUUCUUGAUGGAAACAAUAAAGUUCUUGUCUAGCUUCUUGACUAGUUUGCUCUCUAAGGCAGGAAGGAGCAGGAAACCUGUAGCCUUCCAGAUGCUGAACUCCCAUCAGCCCCAGCCAGCAGGGCUAAUGGUCACAGGUGACAAGUGUGAACUUACCGUAUUUUUCCGUGUACAGUGGUACUUCGGGUUAAGUACUUAAUUCGUUCCGGAGGUCUGUACUUAACCUGAAACUGUUCUUAACCUGAAGCACCACUUUAGCUAAUGGGGCCUCCUGCUGCUGCUGCACCACCAGAGCACAAUUUCUGUUCUUAUCCUGAAGCAAAGUUCUUAACCUGAAGCACUAUUUCUGGGUUAGCAGAGUGUGUAACCUGAAGCGUAUGUAACCUGAAGCGUAUGUAACCUGAGGUACCACCUCAGGUUACAAACGCUUCAGGUUACAAACUCCGCUAACCUGGAAGAGUUACCUCGAGUUGAGAACUUUGCCCCAGGAUGAGAACGGAAAUCGUGUGCCGGCGGCACAGCAGCAGCAAGAGGCCCCAUUAGCGAAAGCACGCCUCUAGUUAAGAACAGUUUCAGGUUAAGAACGGACCUCCGGAAUGAAUUAAUUUUGUAACUAGAGGUACCACUGUAUAACACGCUCCCAUGUAUAAGACUUUUGGGGGAUUCCAAAUUGAGAAAAUGGGGGGAGAUUGCCCAGGGUUGUUGAGCAUUUUUGUGAGGGGAUUGCACACAGUUGCAGAGCUUUUUUUUGGGGGGGGGGGAAUUGCCCAGACAUCUUGAGCUUUUUCAGGGGGGUUGCUGAAAAUCGCUCACCUGCAGGACUGGCACAGCCAAUCGCACGCACAUCGACAAAGCAACCAAUUGUCUGCAUGCUCAAUGAAAGCAAGCACCAAUCACACACACCCAAUUGCCGUAGCAGCCAAUAGCCAGUGGACCUUGCCGCACCCACCAAUCACCCACAAAAACGCCACUGACAAUCUCCUGCUCGCGGCAGCCACCAAUCGCCCAUCCCACCUCUCCACUAUCCGGGUAUAAGAUGACCCCAAAUUUUUAGCAUAAUUUUAAAAUAAAAUAACCUCGUCUUAUACACUGAAAAAUAUGGUACGUUUGCAACUUCUGAUCAAGGAAACUGAGUUAACUUAAUGGGUUCAGAUAUGCUGAAGGCCUUUAACCUGUAAUGAUUGCUAUCGAAGACUGAGAUUGUUUUACUGCAGCUGGUAGCAGUUAUCUCAAAAAGGCAGUUGAGGAGUAUCUGAAGUUUGUACAGGCCAAUAAAACUAACCCUCUCUGGAAUGACAACUUGGUGAAGCAAUAACAUCAUUUCCCUAUAAUUGGUAUAUAUUUGGAUAGGUGUUUGUUUUGAUCUGUUUCAGCUCCACUGUUGAUCUUUCAAGAACUUGCUUGCCCAGCCUCUGGCAGCAGUUUAGCUCUUUUUAUAACAACAGAAGCUCUCUUCAGGCAUUAUCAAGCAUGCAGGAAGAAUUGCAGCUGGCCCCACCUUUCACCUUGGGGGGCAAGGUCUGAAGGAGACUUUUAUGUGUAUUUCCCAGAAUGUGCUUGCACACUUCCCCAUAACCAGGAACUAGUCCAAUAUGGGGAAAUGUCCCCAUAACCAGGAACUAGUCCAAUAUGGGGAAAUUUAAGCUAAACAAGCAGGUAUGGGAAUAAAAUGUUGCAGUUUUCUAAUCAGCCAGCCAUAUCCUAUGUUGAUUUGUUGUUGUUGUUGUUGUCGUUUAGUCAUGUCCGACUCUUCGUGACCCCAUGGACCAGAGCACGCCAGGCACUCCGGUCUUCCAUUCCAUUUCCCAUUCUUCUUAGUUUCCCAUUCCUUCUAAGGUGAAUCAUUAUUCCAUGCUCCUGCAACCAUCGUGGGUUCUCUUCCCUUAUGUAUUCUUUCUGAAGUUUAUUUUUUUAAUUAUUUCUGCAAACAUUGCAGAAACAUUGCAUCCUCAAGCCUGCUAAGACUUCCUUCUUCCAUCAGAGGUCACAAAGAGAAGGGAAAAAUAUACGAAAACAACAAGAAGAGAUGAGGAAAACAACAAAGAGAGGAUUGGAUAGAAUUGUGAAGAUUAUUUGGACAGAACUGUGAACAUCAAAGCAGCAGCAAUAAGAUGAUCGGAUCCCUUUCGGAGCUCAAAAUAUGGGUACCCCCAACAAAAAUUUAAAAUUUGGCUCUGUAAUUUGGAAUUAAUGUGAUUUGAUUGGUUUGUUAAUAAAAAUUAUU